CUGGUGAGGAGAACUAUCCCUCAGUCUGAUUCAGUAUCAGCAGGCCCAGGCCCUGGUGAGGAGAACUAUCCCUCAGUCUGAUUCAGUAUCAGCAGGCCCUGGCCCUGGUGAGGAGAACUAUCCCUCAGUCUGAUUCAGUAUCAGCAGGCCCUGGUGAGGAGAACUAUCCCUCAGUCUGAUUCAGUAUAAGCAGGCCCUGGUGAGGAGAACUAUCCCUCAGUCUGAUUCAGUAUCAGCAGGCCCCGGUGAGGAGAACUAUCCCUGAGUCUGAUUCCGUAUCAGCAGGCCCAGGCCCUGGUGAGGAGAACUAUCCCUCAGUCUGAUUCAGUAUCAGCAGGCCCAGGCCCUGGUGAGGAGAACUAUCCCUCAGUCUGAUUCAGUAUAAACAGGCCCUGGCCCUGGUGAGGAGAACUAUCCCUCGGUCUGUUUCAGUAUCAGCAGGCCCAUGCCCUGGUGAGGAGAACUAUCCC
ensembl:lncRNA